UUAAACUGCUGUGAUUGAAGAACCUACACAUAAAAAACACAAAAUUACAAACUUUCUCCAGCUAUACAUUGCCUCAUAGAACCUGUUUUAUAGUAAUCUAUUAACACCAUGACAUAUGCAAUUUAGCAACAGACCAAUGCAUAUUUUAGAAUAUAAUAUACAGAAAGCAUACUAUAUGAAUGGAACAAUGAAAUUAUCGCGAUGUAUUUUAAAGUAUAUUGCAAUCAUUAUUUAUUCACAUAAGCUGCCACGUGUCUAUCACAUAUGUCACGAAUUGAUGCACCUCGAGGAGAAAAUUAGAAUGGAUGAUCGGUUACGCCCAAUAUACAGAAAAUAUGUCGUAUACUCUCGUUACAAAAGACGUCAAUAAACAAUAUGUCACGUGAAUCUUAUUCAUCAGCACUCUAUACUUACCUCCAAGUUUUCCACCGAAUUCCGUAUUACUAAUUACAAAUUUCUAUUUGUAUGACGUAGGAUAUCGAAGAAGUGCCGAAACUGAAUGCUACAAUAAUACGAGGCAACUGGUGCCGACCUGACGAUUCGUAGUGAAGAUAAACUAGUAGAAGGUCGACGAGGCAACAAGGACGACUGCGUAUAAUGAGAAGGAGAUAUAAGUAACUUAUUCUCUCUCUCUCACACAAUCAGCCUCUGCGCCGAUUCACGUCACAAAGAAUCCCGGGAAAAACGUAUGCUACGUCAGAUGAAGGGAGGGAGACCAAUGCCGGACUGUGAUGUGGCGCUUUAAAAAAUUAACGUAAUUGACGAUUUAUGAAGAUUGGAUAUUUGAGACAUUGCGGACAUCGACGGAAUAACCAUAAGAUCAAUGUAGCUGCAGAUCAACGCAGUUCAUUUCGCUGUUUGCGCAUCGACUGAUGAGUGAAAAUUCAUUUUAUUUUAUUAAGGUAGCGGUUUUGUAGAGAUUAUAGAUUGUGUAGAUCUAGAUAGUAGAUUUUGUAGAAUGUAGAUAGUUCCGCUACCUUAAAAUGAAUGAAUUACAAAA